AUGGAAUACCAAAUAUUGCUUUUUUUUAUUUAUUUUUUUUAUUUCUGUUUUUCAGGGCUAUAAAGUAGUAAGUUCCAAUUAAUUUUAUUGAAUAGUAUUAUUGCUACUCUUGCUUAGGCUAUACCUUUAGUAUGAGUUUGCUUUACGUUAAACGAAAACGAAACGAGAGCGCGUUCGGCGCUCUGAUUGGCCGGUGUGAAUAAACCAACCAAUGUUGACACAUGAUCUUGUAUGGCUUAGGGGCACACAAAUUUCAUGAUUUUUGACCCCCUCUCUCGUCCUUAUCACAUUUGUGAGACCCCCCCCCUCCCUAGUGUGACGUCACAUUUUAUAAUUUUACAUCUAGAUUUUUUUGAGAUUUUAGAUUAUAGUUUCAAGUUCGUGUUUUAACAGUUAGAUUAUAAUAAUUGAAAUGUGACGUCACGAAAUUUAACACCCCUCCCUCCCCCUUGUCACAUAAAGUCACACUUCGUCGACCCCCUUUCCCCCCUUAACGUGUGACGUAAUUAAUGGAUGGCCCCUUAUGUCAAAAUUGUAUCUUUAUUCUUUAGUGAGGUUUACAGAUAGAUAGUUUAUAUGAAAUUGGUCGUUACGAGUUUGUUUUACGUUUAAUGAGGUCGAAACAAGGGCGCGUUCGGUGCUCUGAUUGGUUGGUUCAUUCGAGCCGGCCAAUUAGAGCGCCAAACUCUGAGGUGUAUUCUGAAAAUGGAGUAUCAAUCAAUUCUUUUUAAUCACGUUUCUAUUUCUGAUUUUCAGGGCAAGAAACAAAGCGGCAAGAGCAGCAGCAGCAAGAGCCUUAGCAGCAGCAAGAGCGUAAGAUACAAUUAAUUUGGUUAAAUAGGUAUUAGCCAAGAUAGGCUGGGUACGGUGUUAAUGUGUAAGGAGCCAUAGGCCUACAGUUGCCGGAAACCGUCGCAUGAUCCCGAACGAGAAAAAUCUCGAAAUACCUCUUACACACGAAUAGAUCGACGGAUAUCAAAAAUUUGAUAAAUUACUCUUACAGAUGUGUGUUCUGAAAAUGGAGUACAGUAGAAGCUCUUUAUUCGCGGGGUAUGCGUUCCGUAAAUAUGCCGUGAAUAUGGAAUGCUAAUUUGUAUGGGGUUAUAGGGGAUUCGUUCCUAAAUGACGAAAUCAAGAAGCAAAUAGUAGAUAAAAAAAUGUUUAUUUGAACUUUCCUGAUCAUACAGAUUGCCUGAUGAUAAUAUUAUUAUCAUCAGGUUUAGGUCACACUAGAUUUAGGCAGAAGUCACAAUCUAGACGUAUUGUAAUAAGGUCUAUUUUAUUUUUUUAUCCUUCUACUGACGCGUUGACAAAGGAUAGCGAAUGUAUUUUUUUAGGUUAUGCACCGAUAUUUCGAUUCGAUCCGCGAAUAAAGAAAUUGGAUCGCAUUUUUUCAAUCCGCGAAUAGUGAAAACACGAAUGAAGGAAGCGCGAAUAAGGAGCUUCUACUGUACUAAACAUUGUUUUAAUUUAUUUCACAUUUCUAUUUCUGAUUUUCAGCUUAGCAGCAGCAAGAGCGUAAGAUACAAUUAAUUUAAUAAAAACUAGCUAGUCUUGUUCUUUGUCCUAGGAAUAAAGUAUGAUUACAACGGUGAAAGAUUUUUCUAAAGCGGUCCGGUAGUUUCGGUCCCUAUGCAAUUCAAACGGGAGGUUGGAAUCGGUUGUAACAAUUUUUAUUUAGAUGGUUGUAGCAGUAAUUUUAAUUUGUGUAUUGUAGAUGCCAUAAGUGUAGCCAGGUUUUAGUAUCGGGAGGGGUUCAAGAAAGUCGACGCAUUAAAUGUAAAAAAAAAAACUUCCUUCAUACAUGAGAAAAAAAGAAAAUUUAUGUCAUAUGUAAUAAACAGAUUCAUAAAAAUAGUCAUAGAGACCAAACAGGGGAUGUACUAUGCUAACUACAAAAAUAACGCUCUGUAAUGUCUAGGUACGCAUUUUCGGGGGGGUUUGAACCCCCAAACCCCCCCCCCUGGCUACGCCUAUGGUUGGUUGGUAUGGUUAGAAAUGAUACUUAUAGGACAUAAGCCUAAAGUACUAAACAUUGCUUUAAUUUAUUUCACAUUUCUAUUUCUGAUUUUCAGAGCAGCAGCAAGAGCGUAAGUAACAAUUAAUUUUAUUAAAUACUAGUUAAGGUGGGCUGGGUACGGUUGUAACAACGCAAAUAUCACCGAAACUAACCUAUAGGUUAGGGGUGAACAUUGCACCUGACGUUGCUAGUAGUUGUAAUUAUUAUUGUAACUAGUGGUCGCCUAGUGGUCGAAAUUCGACCAUAUACGAUUUAAUUUACGAUACCACUUAACAUACGUUCAAGCCUUCAAGGAUAAUUUUUAUUUAACGAUAUUUGCUAUUAGUUUUGUAAAAUUCAAAUUAAUAUAUACCAGCGCAUCAUGAACAGGAAAACUCUAUUCAUAUGAGACGUGAAAAUAUCAUCGCAAAGUCUGUCGAUUUUGACGUUUUGUCAAAUAAUUAUGUCUGUCGAUUUUGACGUUUUGUCAAAUACGAUCAGAUACUAUGCAUGGUAGUGUGUGUAAUGUUUUAUUUAUUGAUAUAUUUUUUAACGGUAAUAUUUUUCAAAAAUAAUUCUUUAUAAGCAUUAUUUUUGAAAAAUAUUAUACCGUUCUCAACUUCUCCUACACAUAAACUAUAAGUGUACCAAAUUGUAUGCUUCUACGUCCGCGCAAUUUUCGUAAAAUGGGGUCCAAAGUAUUUGUAUCACGUAUUAACAUAUAGAUAUGGACAAUUAAAGGAAAAUUGUUACAACCGUACCCAGCCUACCCUACCCUUGCUCUCCGUCCGUAGACCCGCACUUGGGCUGACGUCACUUGCAUAUUCUAAUAUGUAUGGAGCCUACGCCAUAGGCCAUUUGUUUUUUUUUUAACUUACACACAUACAGAACAAUGGAUAUUAAAAAAAUUAUAAGUUACUCUUGCUCGUUAAGUUGACUGCCUCGGUGGCCUAAUGGUUGCAAGUGCGACUGCCGGGCAAGGGGUCUCGGGUUCGAUUCCCGGGUCGGGCGAAGUAUUGCUGGGCUUUUUUCGGUUUUUCGAAAAUUUCUCAGUAGUAGCACGGAGUCUGGAAAUGUGCCCGGUAUAUAGCAAUAGGCUCACCACCUAUUACAUGGGACUUACAACAUAAAUUGUGAAAAGUGGGUGUACACAGUGCCAUUACGUGUCAUAAUGUGCAUCUCUGCCUACCCCUUCGGGGAUUAAGGGCGUGACGAUAUGUAUGAUAAGUUACUCUUACAGAUAUGUGUUCUGGAAAUGGAGUACUGAACAUUGUUUUAUUUUAUUUCAUAUUUCUUUUUCUGAUUUUCAUAGCAGCAAAAGCGUAAGAUACAAUUAAUUUACAUUAAAUAUACGCGUCGAUAUUUUAAUACCUACAUAUAUUGAAAUGUUAAAAUAAUUUAUUUUUGACAUAGGAAACUCCCCAAUUAUUUUGAAAAACUAUAAUAUAUAAACAAGUUUUACUUUAAUAGUUAGUUUAAGAAAGACAAAAUCUUUUUAUGUUUUAAAUUAUAUUUAAUUACUUU